rnacentral:misc_RNA from 1 species
GGCAUACCUCUCAAUGAGUCUCUGAUGGGAGUUUUUCCUUUUUGGUCUUUCCAAUCAGGACCAUUUCCUUGAAAGUCUUGAAUAAUAGUUUGCUUGGAAUCUAAUCCCCUGCACGACUUGUCGUUCUUCCACUCUGAUUUAUCAACAUCCUUCUUCUGAGUUCCGCACAUGCAUGAAAAAUUCAAUCUUUAUAGGAGGUUUUGGCGCGUCUUAAAACUUCUCAUCCCCAAGAUCAAAGGCCAUCGACAAUAUUUUCUUGGCGACUAACCACGCAAUGAACAGCGGGUUUGAGCCAUCCUGUCGCGUUGAAUCAUCUUGAUCGCCUUGUAGUCAUCGCUAAUUUAUUAAUCAUAGCCGAAUCCAUCCAAGAUCUUAUCACAACCUUCGUGCUGAGCCAACAUUUUAGGUGAAUUUUGGUGCUUCUUCGUUGAUGGAUUCCACAUGGUCACUCUUUCACCAUUUUGCAUAGCAAGCAAGCCAUUGCAGGAACCAAAAGCAUCUGUGGAGGACUGGCAAGGCAUGCAUGCAGGUAAGCAGAGGUGAUGGUGGCAGCUGUGAAGGCUAUGAGCAUAUCUUGCUCUCCAUUGAUUGCUGAACGUCUUGCCCUGAAAUAUGGCGUUUGAAUUGUGGUGUUUGUGGCUGUGUUUGAGUUUGACAGUGAUAACAAGGAAUGGAGGCUCAGCUCACACCAAGAUGUGUAUCAGAGUCCGCUACUCGAUGAUGACAAUUAUCAAAACAGUACACCUCAAAUUCUGAUUUCAAAUUCUGCUUUUAUUCAUCAGUUCUCGUGAAUUUUGGGUCACUGGUUUAGAAGACGCCAUCAAGCACAUUCCUACAAGAACAGCAAUUUCACUGUG